GAACCAGAUUACAGAGUCGCCUGGAACUCUAACACAGAAAACUACUUCAGGGAAGGAGAGGAGGAAAAAAGGAAUCAAGAAAAAAAUUAAAGAUUUGACUGAAGCUGGUCCUUGGUUAGUGAAGUUGUAUCUGGCAGAUAACGGCAUAGACAGGAGAGGAAAAGAAGGAGAAAAUGGCUUGUUGGAAUUCACUCAAAUUUUAACAUGCCUGAUCACAUACUCUGCUCACUUAAGAGAAAUUGACCUCAGAAACAAUGUCCUGGGAGAGAUGGCUGCUGCUGACAUACUUGAAGCACUAAGAGCCAGAAAGACAGGUAAACUCCCAGUCUUAAAAAUUACAGUCACUCCUCAAAUGUCUUCUGAUACCUUCAGAUCUAUUUGGAAAAAUAGCAGGAAAUCUAGGAUUACCAGUAAAAAGAAGAAGAAGGUAACAGUAUCCCAAACCAUCAGUCCAUUCUAAUGGAUGAUUGUAUCAAAGGACAAGUCGUAGGAAAAAACAUAGUUCCCUCAAAGGUUGGUACAAACCUUGUCUCCUCUCUUCAACUUUCCCACCCUCUCCUCCCCCCACAAUCCUGGUACCUGUUAGCUUAUUGUGGAUUUGAAAUGGUGAAUUUACCUGAACUAUUUAUG
rnacentral:lncRNA from 1 species